AGAGUUUGAUCCUGGCUCAGGAUGAACGCUAGCGACAGGCUUAACACAUGCAAGUCGAGGGGCAGCGAGGGCGUAGCAAUACGCCUGUCGGCGACCGGCGCACUGGUGAGUAACACGUAUGCGACCUGCCCCCUACAGGGGUAUAACCCGUAGAAAUGCGGACUAAUCCCCCAUAGUCCUGAGUGCUGCAUGGCAUUCAGGGGAAAGGCCAGCCGGUAGGGGAUGGGCAUGCGGCGCAUUAGCUAGUUGGCGGGGCAACGGCCCACCAAGGCGACGAUGCGUAGGGGUUCUGAGAGGAAGGUCCCCCACACUGGUACUGAGACACGGACCAGACUCCUACGGGAGGCAGCAGUGAGGAAUAUUGGUCAAUGGGCGCAGGCCUGAACCAGCCAAGUCGCGUGAGGGAAGACGGUCCUACGGAUUGUAAACCUCUUUUGUCGGGGAGUAACGUGCGGGACGCGUCCCGUAUUGAGAGUACCCGAAGAAAAAGCAUCGGCUAACUCCGUGCCAGCAGCCGCGGUAAUACGGAGGAUGCGAGCGUUAUCCGGAUUUAUUGGGUUUAAAGGGUGCGCAGGCGGCGCGCCAAGUCAGCGGUCAAAGUUCCGGGCUCAACCCGGUGUCGCCGUUGAAACUGGCGUGCUCGAGUGCGUGCGAGGAAGGCGGAAUGCGUUGUGUAGCGGUGAAAUGCAUAGAUAUGACGCAGAACUCCGAUUGCGAAGGCAGCUUUCCAGCGCGCUACUGACGCUGAGGCACGAAAGCGUGGGGAUCGAACAGGAUUAGAUACCCUGGUAGUCCACGCAGUAAACGAUGACUACUAGCUUUCCGGGAUGAUUGAAUCCUGGGAGGCACAGCGAAAGCGUUAAGUAGUCCACCUGGGGAGUACGCCGGCAACGGUGAAACUCAAAGGAAUUGACGGGGGCCC
rnacentral:rRNA from 1 species